GCGCGAGGGGGUUGUCGGGGUGGAUGGGGCUGGUGGUAUGGGGGGGAGCACGGCGAACGGCAGCUGUUUCAGCAAAGACGUGUGUUCAACCCUUCUGUUACCGUUCCAUUAAAAAUAAGCGAGGUGGAAGCGCCUAAACUUGAAGAUCGAGAGCCAAGUGGGAACAGACAGCGGCGAGAGAGGCUGACAUUGUCGGGAAACACCUCCAACUGUAAACAAGGAUAAGACAGAUAAAAGAAAACUAAACAAACAAAGAACGGGUAGCAAAACUCAGGUGUAAAAACUUAUUUUUAAAAUAUCUUAAAGAGCAGGAGGAUCAAGAAAUCAGAAACAAGCACCGAGCUUGUGAUAAUGGGAGUAACAACAAGGGGUAGAUAAAAUAUACCAAACAGAAAAUAUAACAAAGAUAAUAACGAAAUAUGACAGAACAGAAUGUAAUAGAAUAACAAACUGUAAUAGAAAAUGUAACACAACAGAAUAGAAUAACUGACUAUAACAGCGCAAACGUGUAAUGCCUGAAGUUUAAACCGAGUACCCGUCUAGACAUGGUUCAACCGCUCCUACCCACUUCUGUCAUGUAAUCACCGAGUGAGAGUAAGUGGUGAUUACAAACUAGCAAUUAUCACCCGUCUGCAAGCUUCCCUUGACAUGGGCAGUGGUCCAUUCACACUUCACUACCUCCCGCUACUAGCCACACGGUAGAUGGAUGCUUGUCCUGGCGGGAAAGUGCUUCCACCUACAGGUGAUUUCGCACGAUGAGGGAAGAAUGGAGAGUAAAAGAAAGCGGAGUACCGACGGCCGGACCCACGAACAGGUGUCACACAAAGUGUCCCGAGACGAGAUAUGAACCCAAAGCCUCCCUGCAGUGGUGACAAGCGAAUGUUGUAACCACUACGUGACCCGGCGCCAGAUGACAGACGUUAGAUGACAGACGUUAGACGGGUAGCAGACACGUGCUGAUCAGUGACGUCAUCCUACUUGAGCGAGAAGUGGUUGAGAGGACGGUUACCACGCUGGUAGCCUCCGGUGGACAGGUGGGCUGACCUCAAAAUGAAGUUUGAUAGUUUUAUGUCAGGUAAUCAGAAUGGAACCCUUCCUCCCUCCUCCACCGCUUGGUCACGUGUUACAAUAUUAAUUUUGCUUACUAGGAACGGAGUACCUUACGAUUGUGUAAGUCGUUGGUAGGUGGGGUGGAGGGGUAAUCUGUGGACUUCUCUGCUGACGACUCACCAAUUAAAUCUCUCCUCACACCGCAGCUCCCACUCUACGUGACAGAAACGUCGUCAGCACGUACUACAACAAGUCACAGCGAUCACGUCAUCAUCCUAUUCUUACAGCAGCCACCGUUACAUGAAUGUGACACUCCACUGUCUUCCAUAUGCUACCCGAGUGACUGAGGCGGGAGUGAGGCUAAAAAUAACCCGCCGAGGAUAACUUGUUCAUUUAAGGGACAAAAAGUGCGAGUGGAAAAAAAAGGAUGGAAAAAUUAAGUCUGUGAAAACUCUUCUUCCCGCUGGCAGCGUGCAAGCUUUUGUUCCGACAAGCCGGGAGAAUAAAGACAAAACUUGUUCCCGACAGCACAAGCUGGUUUAGGAGUGACAGAUGGGCUGAACGCUACUCUCCGUCCUCAGCGCGCCUGUUUGUUAGUCUGUGGUCCAGAUGUCACCACAGUUGAUGGUAUCUAACAUACUGUAGAUAAUAAUCGAGAUAACAGUUUGUCAAGGCACUGGGCAAAGUUAUAGAAAGAAGUGCAACUAGAUAUUAGUCAUACUUAUUGACAUAAACAUCUUCAUUAAAGAGCUUCAUCUUAAGGGAAGUGUUACGAACUUCAUCUGAAUUUUAAUUAUGGUGGUUGAGGGUCUUGAAAGUUGUUGAAAGGAGGUAAAAAGCUCGUUUGUGCCUGUACCUAUGUGUGCUGAAACAUUGCCCAGGUAUGACUCCGCCAUCACCGAGACUCACCUACAGCUGUAGGUAUAAUGCAGUUACGAUGCCAGGUGUCGCCACAAGGCAGCCGCGUAUGACCAUCGACCACGAAACUCAAGGUGACACGACAGCUGGCGACACCACCAUGUGCCCCUCCCACCACCCUGCUGCAUCUACCAUCGCACACACACACGUACACACACACACACACGUACACACACACACACGUACACACACACUUCACACCUUUCGGAAAUGACAGCUGAAGCCGGCGACAUCUGUGCGGCGAUGUGGAUGUGGAUGGUACCAGCCGGGUGAGCAGUUCAAAGUGAUGACCAACUCUUUUGUAAAUCAAGAAAAUCAUCCUUUCGCUCCAUCACCAACUGGCAUACCCCCCGAUAUCGAUAAAUUAAACCAUCUUUUAACAACGGUGAAGCCGCUACGCAGCUUGUAAUGGAGAAAACCGAAACCGUGACAUCUCUCUCCUUUUCCCCCUCCUCCACCCCCUCGGUUUCCCUCCCGCCGCCGAUUCGUUGAGUCAGCAGCACUUUAUAACGUGGACAGAUCGAACGAUUGAACCAGCUGGCACGGCAUAAAAAUUAAAACUUCGAUUGGAUCGUAAGAGAGAAGAGUGUUGGUCCAUGCCGCAAGUACCCGGUCCUAUCUCUACUGUCGCGCUGACAUUACGAGAGCCGCAACACCUGUCGACACAGGUGUGAGCUGCAGCAUUAUGGACUGACUGCCUUUGGGACCCUGGGGUCGACUCCCCUUAAAGCCCUCUUACAGUGCUCAUUUCUUUUUCUGACAGUUGUUUUCAAUCCCGUUUUAUGUUCGCAAUAGCUGGGGGUGUUCCUACCUGCAGAUUAAAAUGCGUGUGUGUGCGUGCGUGUGUGUUUGUGUGGUUCAUCGAAGAACAGAUGGUUACUAGCAGCGCCACCUACAGUGGCACGUGGGGUUGCGACUGAGAAUCGAUCAGGGUAUGUAGCCAUAAAAACUUCAAUCAACUGAAAACAUAAUUCAUGUGGUCUGCAUCACUUCUGGUCACCCGCGGCUGUGACCAGCCCUCCCCCAAUGCUGUUGACAAGUCCAGCAUCACGUGACACAUCUACACCGUCGCCAGUAAGUCAGAUGAUGGCUGAUGUUCACCAACACGCACAUUUUCUUCGUGGCAUGCCAGUGUGACAUUUCCGCGAUGUUCUUCUCGUCCCUGGCGUGUCCACAGCUUCCAAAUCACACAACUGCCCUCCCAGGAUGGUCCAGGACCUCGCCGAGGCAAAAGCAAAAGCCUUGUACAGCAUGGCGGCCCCUUCCAGACCGCACCAGCCGCUGGCGGCGCCAGAAGCAGAGAAAGGAGGAAAUGUAAAAGCAUCUCUCGCUCUAUCUGCCUCUCGCACGUUGACGCACGCGCAGCUCGCAGGCCUGCAGCGACACGCGCUCUGUGGUGCCCGCGCCUGGCCACCUGUCGACUGGCCAUCUGGAAGGCGUUAGCAGCCCCAGACUUUCUGGUACCAGUGAGGAAUGCAGGCAGCACCUGAAACCGGUGCAAUCUGUGCGCCAUGUGUUUGCAGUUGCUCCCUCACCCUCCCGCCAGCUAUCUUCACCAGCCGCCUCUUCCUCCGGCCAGGGAGGGUGAGCGCGCGGCAUCCUGAUGGAGCACACGGCGAGCUUUGCUGGAGGGAGACCGGGAGGAGGGAAGGAGAGAGCGGAGCAGGUCCUUGCUCUCAGCCUUCAGGAUUAUCGCAACCUGCGCUUAUUUCUUCAGGUGUUCCUUGUUAUCGUUUCUUCUAAUGUGAAAAAAUGUUUUGUAUUAUCUUAUCUACUAAUCCUGUAAGCACGUUCCUUAAUCAUACAAAAUAUUCCUAGUUCAUUUCUACUUCUCGGACAAAUAUAUUCUUUAUUAUCAUUGACACUAAACAAGUAUGUUUCUUUCCUCAUAAUAUCUUGUUUACAUAUUUAGUAGUUUGUUGUUUAUCCAUGAUCCCAGCAUCUUCAGAAGUUUACGGUAAUUUCUUCCUGAUGUGUCAAUCAUACUUCCUGGAAACAUGUUUGCGAGGCCAGAUUCACAGGUGUGUAUGUUGUCUGUGUGUAUGUGUGUAUGUGUAUGUUGUGUAUGUGUAUGUGUAUGUGUAUGUUGUUUUCACAAUCUCCUGAUUGUUCUCAUGUCAUCAGCCAGCAGUGAGACGAGUUCAGCCUGACGACGAAUAAAGUUCCCACCCUGCCUUGCGAUCGAAACUAUACAAGAUUUUACUUUCAUUUUUUUUUUUAGAAAUUGUUUUUGUUUUGAGGCUGGCGAAUGCUGUUUUAUUCCCCAAGCUCUAAAAGAAAACAAACCAGAUUUUUUAAAAGCAAAAAUCAUUAUCUAAAUUUGUUUGUAUUGUGUUCGCUUGCGCGCGCGUGCAUGCGUGAUCGAAAGAUUGGUUAGCCAAUAGAGUGGAGGGAUGGGUAGCAACGAUGGGUAACAACGAUGGGUAACAAUGAUGGGUAUGUACCUCGCGUGCUGGCGGUAUGGGCGGCAUCCCCGGGGGGACACGUCCCUGUGAGCGAGUCAAUGACACCGAGAAGGGGUGUCAGGUGCAGUGCAGCGCCUAGUCAUUACUGAAAUUACCUCCAACUUCUCGUCGCCAUCGACCCGCCUCGUCCCCCAGUUGGCCAAUGAACCCAGCCUCCCAGCCACCCAGCCACCCAGCCAUCAAACCAGCCCACUCCCCCUCUCUCCGCGAAGCUCGUCUGCGUAGCUGGCAAGCAAAUUAGUCGUUUUCGUGCAGAAGUCAAGCUUGUUUAUUAUUUAUAAACAAACUGCAGCGAACACGUAACCGUUCUCCACGUUCUGUCUGUCGUGCGCUGCGAGAUUCGUUCCAGCGGAGAGUGUGUGUGUGUGCGAUCAAUCCACUCUGCGCGAGACCCCAGUGGAGGGCAGAUGGUUACGAUUCCUCUGAGACAGUGGAAGAAUGCCCGGGCCAUGGCGAUCGUCUGCUAGUCCUGAUUGAAGACCUCCCCACCCCACCCCAGCCCACCCCGCGCCCCACCCCGAUACAAUGGCCGCCCCGCUCUCUGCGGUCCGUAUGUCGCAAGCUGCCAGUGUGUGCGCAGCUGGGACUCGAGCAAAACGGGGAAACCAGGUGGAAUUUAAUUGAUUGAAUUUGCCUUAAUUCCAUGCAAUUCUCGCUUUCUUCUUUGUCUGCCCUCACCUCCAGAAACGACUCCGCCAUCGUACAACAAAUUGGGUUUCUUCUUGAUUUCUCUUUAGGACCAUCCUACUUUGGUCCUCCAUUGUGUAGACAUGCUCAUCCGACAGUACCCAUCACCACCACCACCACUGCCUCCACCACCACCACCAACACCACCACCACCAUCACAGCCUCUACCACCACCACCACUCCUGCUCGUCGAUGUCUUUUUUGUUUUAAGAGUUUGAACUUUUUUGCUUGGUAAUGUUUAGCCUUUAUUUUUUCAAUAAAUGAUGGCAGCUCUUUGUUCGUGCCCCAUCCCCUCUCUGUAUCAAACUUCUUAAUUGUUUUUCUUCUUGUUCUAAGUAAGGUUAUGACGGGGCCAUCCUUAUUAUUAUCAUCAUCAUCAUCUUCAUCAUCAUUUUCCUGUUGUGUAUAUAUUUACUUUUAUUCAAGCUCUAUAUGAUGAAAUUGUAUGGGUGAAUGCUAUUUGUGUAUCAUGUCGAUGUCUCCAUACCUCUCAAAUGAUGAAUGAAUAAAAUUAAUGUCU